AGCAGCAUGGAGGUCCCCACGAAGAACAUGGCCGUCCUGAAGGCCGGCGACGGGAUGGAGUUGAAGUCGAAGACGCUGCCCUUGCAGGGCUGGAUGAAGACCACCAUGGUGAUGAUGGAGAAGCAGAUGGUGAACACGGCCCACAUGACGCCGAUGGCCCGGGAGUUUCUCACAUAGUUGGUGUGAACCAGAGGCUUCUGCUCCGGUUUCUCCUGAUUACCAGUCUGAAGUUUCAGCACGCUGGACAGCUCCUCCACCCUGUGCACGGUGAGGCAGCGCCGACGUCACACACUCACCUGUUCCCCUGGAGGCGGAACAGGUGAGUACCGCCUCCAGGGUGAUUACCUGUAGAUAAUCUACAGGUUUCAGAAAUGUCACAGCAGUGAAAAUAAAUAGCAGACUG